UCAAGAUAUGAAAAGACUCAAAUAGAAAAUUUGAAAUAAUUUCAAUUUAAAAAUUGGAAAUAAAAAAAAGAAGUUAAAAUCAAAUGAUAAGAUUAAGUCAAUGUUUAAAAGUUAUUACUUAUAUUACUUAAUAUAAUUAUUACCUAAGAUAUUUAUGAAGAUACAGAAUAUGUAUGAUAUUUUCAACCAUUUAUUAUUACAAUAAUUUAGUUUAGAUUCAUAGAACAGGUAAAAUACACAAAAAAAGUACUUGAUUUUGAUAUGUAUUCUAUCAUCCACCAAUAACUCAACCGGAUAAAAAAGCCCUCGUUAUUUUAGUUAAUUUAUUCGGAAUCAUUAAUUGAAUUAGUUCUGAACUAGUUCGUUGUGAAACUGAGUGAGUUGCUUCUAUUCCUUCCAAUAAAACAACUUAUGUUUGCGGUAACCUCUAUGAUAUCCGUCAAUUUGUUACUCGUCACUUCAGUUCUUUGCGAACUGCAAUAAAAAAAAUGUCUUUUUUGUUUUCAUUUCGGAAUGGGAAUGGAUUGAGAACAGAACUAUCUAGUCGCAACUCUUCAAUUCCAUAAGAAACCGUACGAAAAGCCAUUACAUUCUUAAAGCUAACACCGCCCCACACCACAAGAUAAUUAUUAUUACUACAGAUAAUUAUUAUUGAACGUUCAAAUAGCAAUUAGCAAUAGGAAUUUGAAUGAUAUUUAAAAAAGUGUCCUCAAGAUAUUGCAUUGAAUUGCCUCCUUCAAUCUCGACGAUUGAAGAUGGAU
rnacentral:misc_RNA from 1 species